UCUUGAAUCUCCUGCAAACAUUGAUGCUGCAAAAAUGAUGAGAGAUAAUCCAACAGAGUAUCGCAAGCGUGUUGCUCGUAUAGUUCGUAAAUCUCAAGAAGAAGCUUGGGAUUAGUAUUUUUUCUUUUUUUUCUUCUUCUUUGUCUUCUUCUAUUUCAGGUAUUUUCGAUUCCCAUAAAAU
rnacentral:ribozyme from 1 species